AUGAACGCUAGCUACAGGCUUAACACAUGCAAGUCGAGGGGCAGCAUGGUCUUAGCUUGCUAAGGCCGAUGGCGACCGGCGCACGGGUGAGUAACACGUAUCCAACCUGCCGUCUACUCUUGGACAGCCUUCUGAAAGGAAGAUUAAUACAAGAUGGCAUCAUGAGUCCGCAUGUUCACAUGAUUAAAGGUAUUCCGGUAGACGAUGGGGAUGCGUUCCAUUAGAUAGUAGGCGGGGUAACGGCCCACCUAGUCUUCGAUGGAUAGGGGUUCUGAGAGGAAGGUCCCCCACAUUGGAACUGAGACACGGUCCAAACUCCUACGGGAGGCAGCAGUGAGGAAUAUUGGUCAAUGGGCGAGAGCCUGAACCAGCCAAGUAGCGUGAAGGAUGACUGCCCUAUGGGUUGUAAACUUCUUUUAUAAAGGAAUAAAGUCGGGUAUGGAUACCCGUUUGCAUGUACUUUAUGAAUAAGGAUCGGCUAACUCCGUGCCAGCAGCCGCGGUAAUACGGAGGAUCCGAGCGUUAUCCGGAUUUAUUGGGUUUAAAGGGAGCGUAGAUGGAUGUUUAAGUCAGUUGUGAAAGUUUGCGGCUCAACCGUAAAAUUGCAGUUGAUACUGGAUAUCUUGAGUGCAGUUGAGGCAGGCGGAAUUCGUGGUGUAGCGGUGAAAUGCUUAGAUAUCACGAAGAACUCCGAUUGCGAAGGCAGCCUGCUAAGCUGCAACUGACAUUGAGGCUCGAAAGUGUGGGUAUCAAACAGGAUUAGAUACCCUGGUAGUCCACACGGUAAACGAUGAAUACUCGCUGUUUGCGAUAUACUGCAAGCGGCCAAGCGAAAGCGUUAAGUAUUCCACCUGGGGAGUACGCCGGCAACGGUGAAACUCAAAGGAAUUGACGGGGGCCCGCACAAGCAGUGGAGUAUGUGGUUUAAUUCGAAGCAACGCGAAGAACCUUACCAGGGCUUGACAUAUAGAUGAAUAUAUAAGAGAUUAUAUAGCUUUUCGGAGCAUCUAUACAGGUGGUGCAUGGUUGUCGUCAGCUCGUGCCGUGAGGUGUCGGCUUAAGUGCCAUAACGAGCGCAACCCUUGUUGUCAGUUACUAACAGGUUCCGCUGAGGACUCUGACAAGACUGCCAUCGUAAGAUGUGAGGAAGGUGGGGAUGACGUCAAGUCAUCAUGCCCUUUAUGCCCUGGGCUACACACGUGCUACAAUGGCUGGUACAGAGGGAAGCAAAGCAGCGAUGUGGAGCAAAUCCCACAAAGCCAGUCUCAGUUCGGAUCGCAGGCUGCAACCCGCCUGCGUGAAGUCGGAAUCGCUAGUAAUCGCGGAUCAGCAUGCCGCGGUGAAUACGUUCCCGGGCCUUGUACACACCGCCCGUCACACCAUGAGAGUUGGGGAUACCCGAAGCCUGUGAGCCAACAUAUCUAUGAGGCAGCAGUCGAAGGUAGAAUCAAUGAUUGGGGUG
rnacentral:rRNA from 1 species